rnacentral:lncRNA from 1 species
GUCGGCGGAUGCAGCUCCGAGGAGGUAGGCAGUGGGAGCCGGCGUUCAGUCCGGCCCGUGCCAACAGUGGUUCCUCUCUCCCCCGUAGUUCGAGGAGACCACGCGCUGCCCCUCUGGCACGAUCGUGGAUGAACCCCCUGGCAACUGAAAUGGGAAAGGCAGCGCCCCCGACUCUGGGGACUGGACCGAAGUCCACGGUAGUGACAGCUGCCAGACCCUGAGGAGAGGACGAGAAGACCCGAGGCCUCUGCUACGAACACUGGCAGCCGAUGGAAAAUUCAGACGGAUUUGGGACAGUAUGCAGAGUUCUCCAAGCGACAGAUUAACAGAGGCUCUUGAAGAAUAACUGCGUAAUCACGUGUUCUGCUCAAAAGAAGGCCUGAAUGCCCAGUGCCUUAUUUGGCUUUCAGGGGUCUUGCGGUGUCACCCAGGCUAGAGUACAGUGGUGCAAUCAUAGCUCACUGCUGCCUCAAACUCCUAGACUCAAGCAAUCCUCCUGCUUCAGCCUCCCGAGUAGCUGGGACUACAGUUUCCCCAUGUGUAUGCUGUGGUAUUGGAUCAGCAACGAGAUAAGAAGAUCUCUCCCAUUUCCAAGCGUCUAUGAUGAUUCUGAGGCACAAGGUCACAUUUGACAGUACUAGGAAACCCAGGAAACAAGAAGCAAAGAUGACAAAGGCUGUGUCUGCCUGGGCAGACGAUCUAUUUGGACAAGAUAAUAGACCCAGGCAUGGACAUGCUCUCCAAGAAAGAUGCCCUGACAGCUGCUCACACUGAAGCUGAAUCGAACAUUCCAAUCCUUAGAGGUUCCAGCGAAGAUCUUGAAGUCUCCCUGAGCCAUUGACACAAUGGCCAUGCCAUCCCAGUGAUAAAACACAAAUUGUGGCCUUGUUUUGGACAGAAAUAAAGAGCCCAGUUUGUUAGU